rnacentral:rRNA from 1 species
GGUUUCUGCUAAGUCGCAAGACGAUGUAUAGGAGCUGACGCCUGCCCGGUGCUGGAAGGUUAAGGGGAUCUGUUAGAGCAAUCGAAGCAGUGAACUUAAGCCCCAGUAAACGGCGGCCGUAACUAUAACGGUCCUAAGGUAGCGAAAUUCCUUGUCGGGUAAGUUCCGACCCGCACGAAAGGCGUAACGAUUUGGGCACUGUCUCAACAACAGACUCGGUGAAAUUGUAAUUCCGGUGAAGAUGCCGGAUACCUGCGACAGGACGGAAAGACCCCAUGGAGCUUUACUGUAGCUUGACAUUGGGUCUUGGUACUACAUGUACAGGAUAGGUGGGAGGCUUUGAAACCAGGACGCCAGUUUUGGCGGAGCCAUCCUUGGGAUACCACCCUUGUAGUACUGGGACUCUAACCAUAGACCAUGAAUCUGGUCUUGGGACACUGUCAGGUGGGCAGUUUGACUGGGGCGGUCGCCUCCCAAAAGGUAACGGAGGCGCUCAAAGGUUCUCUCAGUACGGUCGGAAAUCGUACGUAGAGUGUAAAGGC